rnacentral:rRNA from 1 species
GACGAACGCUGGCGGCGUGCUUAACACAUGCAAGUCGAACGGAAAGGCCCCCUUUUGGGGUACUCGAGUGGCGAACGGGUGAGUAACACGUGAGUAACCUACCCUUGACUUUGGGAUAACUUCAUGAAACUGGGGCUAAUACCGGAUAGGAGCUCCUGCUGCAUGGUGGGGGUUGGAAAGUUUCGGCGGUUGGGGAUGGACUCGCGGCUUAUCAGCUUGUUGGUGGGGUAGUGGCUCACCAAGGCUUUGACGGGUAGCCGGCCUGAGAGGGUGACCGGCCACAUUGGGGCUGAGAUACGGCCCAGACUCCUACGGGAGGCAGCAGUGGGGAAUAUUGCACAAUGGGCGGAAGCCUGAUGCAGCAACGCCGCGUGCGGGAUGACGGCCUUCGGGUUGUAAACCGCUUUCGCCUGUGACGAAGCGUGAGUGACGGUAAUGGGUAAAGAAGCACCGGCUAACUACGUG